rnacentral:rRNA from 1 species
CGCCUGGGGAGUACGGCCGCAAGGCUAAAACUCAAAGGAAUUGACGGGGCCCCGCACAAGCGGCGGAGCAUGCGGAUUAAUUCGAUGCAACGCGUAGAACCUUACCUGGGUUUGACAUGGAUCGGGAGUGCUCAGAGAUGGGUGUGCCUCUUUUGGGGUCGGUUCACAGGUGGUGCAUGGCUGUCGUCAGCUCGUGCCGUGAGAUGUUGGGUUAAGUCCCGCAACGAGCGCAACCCUUGUUCACUGUUGCCAGCACGUUAUGGUGGGGACUCAGUGGAGACCGCCGGGGUCAACUCGGAGGAAGGUGGGGAUGACGUCAAGUCAUCAUGCCCCUUAUGUCCAGGGCUUCACGCAUGCUACAAUGGCUGGUACAGAGAGUGGCGAGCCUGUGAGGGUGAGCGAAUCUCGGAAAGCCGGUCUCAGUUCGGAUUGGGGUCUGCAACUCGACCUCAUGAAGUCGGAGUCGCUAGUAAUCGCAGAUCAGCAACGCUGCGGUGAAUACGUUCCCGGGGCUUGUACACACCGCCCGUCAAGUCAUGAAAGUUGGUAACACCCGAAGCCGGUGGCCUAACCGUUGUGGGGGAGCCGUCGAAGGUGGGACUGGUGAUUAGGACUAAGUCGUAACAAGGUAACCGUA